AAUGUACUCCCUCUGUGUCAAAAUUCUUGUCUUAGAUUUUUCUAGAUACGGAUGUAUCUAAUACUAAAAUUUGACUUGAUACAUCCGAAUUUAGACAAAUCUAAGACAAGAAUUUUGGGACGGAGGGAGUAUCAA
rfam:Triticum aestivum genome assembly, contig: Triticum_aestivum_CS42_TGACv1_scaffold_578835_7BL